rnacentral:rRNA from 1 species
GACGAACGCUGGCGGCGUGCUUAACACAUGCAAGUCGAACGUGAUUUUUGUGGAAAUUCUUUCGGGAAUGGAAAUGAAAUGAAAGUGGCGAACGGGUGAGUAACACGUGAGCAACCUACCUUACACAGGGGGAUAGCCGUUGGAAACGACGAUUAAUACCGCAUGAGACCACAGAAUCGCAUGAUGUAGGGGUCAAAGAUUUAUCGGUGUAAGAAGGGCUCGCGUCUGAUUAGCUAGUUGGAAGGGUAAAGGCCUACCAAGGCGACGAUCAGUAGCCGGUCUGAGAGGAUGAACGGCCACAUUGGAACUGAGACACGGUCCAAACUCCUACGGGAGGCAGCAGUGGGGAAUAUUGCACAAUGGGGGGAACCCUGAUGCAGCGACGCCGCGUGAGCGAAGAAGGUUUUCGAAUCGUAAAGCUCUGUCCUAUGAGAAGAUAAUGACGGUAUCAUAGGAGGAAGCCCCGGCUAAAUACGUG